rnacentral:lncRNA from 1 species
AUGACACCACUCCCACUGCAACCAUGGAGACCAGUUUAUGGGAGGCAGUGUUUGUUGUUGUUUUUUAAUUUCCCCUCCUUCCCUCCCUCCCUCCCUUCUUCCUCUCUUUCCCGCCUUCUUUCUUCUCUCCCUCCUUCUCUUCCUUCCUUCCUCCCUCUCCCCCUCCAUCUUUCUCUUCCUCCUUCCCUCCCUCCUUUUUUCUUCCUCCCUCCUUUUCUUCCUUCCUUCCCUCCCUCCCUUCUUUCAUCUUUUUUUGUAGAAAACAUCAGCCUAACCCAUUCCCACCUGUCAGGAACCAUCCCCUGGCCUUUCAGCUCCUUCCCAGAACUAUUUGGCAACUGGACAUCCUGCAGGAGAAUCAGAGGUGGGAAAGCAAAGAGACUGAACAUCUGUUACCUAAGGAAGAAGCCAGCAGUCAGGCUGUUCCUCUUGCUGCCGGUGGAGGAACCAAGGCCGGCAAACCGGGGAUUGUCUUGUCUGGUGAGAAGUGGGGCCUUUUCUCCAUGGUGGCUGAGAAGGUAUCUUCUUUUUCUAUUGCUGCUGUAACAAAUGACAAUAGAAAAUUAACAAAU